GUGGGGAAUCUUCCACAAUGGACGAAAGUCUGAUGGAGCAACGCCGCGUGAGUGAAGAAGGGUUUCGGCUCGUAAAGCUCUGUUGUCGGGGACGAAUGUGCAGUAUUUGAAUAAAGUAUUGCAAUGACGGUACCUGACGAGGAAGCCACGGCUAACUACGUGCCAGCAGCCGCGGUAAUACGUAGGUGGCAAGCGUUGUCCGGAAUUAUUGGGCGUAAAGGGAGCGCAGGCGGGAAGGUAAGUCGGUCUUAAAAGUGCGGGGCUCAACCCCGUGAUGGGAUCGAAACUAUCUUUCUUGAGUGCAGGAGAGGAAAGUGGAAUUCCUAGUGUAGCGGUGAAAUGCGUAGAUAUUAGGAGGAACACCAGUGGCGAAGGCGACUUUCUGGACUGUAACUGACGCUGAGGCUCGAAAGCCAGGGGAGCGAACGGGAUUAGAAACCCUUGUAGUCC
rnacentral:rRNA from 1 species